rnacentral:misc_RNA from 1 species
GAUGAAGAACGUAGUGAAAUGCGAUAAGGAAUGUGAAUUGCAGAAUUCAGUGAAUCAUCGAAUCUUUGAACGCAUCUUGCGCUCCUUGGUAUUCUGAGGAGCAUGCCUGUUUGAGUGUCAUUAAAUUCUCAACUACACUGACUUUGAAUUGGUGUGGCUUGGAUUUGGGGGGAAAAUUGUUGUGGGCUUUUUGUAUAGUCUGCUCCCCUGAAAUUGAUUAGCGGUACCUUUGUGGAACUGUCUACAGGUGUGAUAAUUAUCUACAUCUUAGACAUCUGCUGGAAUGCUGCUUUCUAAACCUUACUUGUAUUGACAAUCUUGACCUCAAAUCAGGUAGGACUACCCGCUGAACUUAAGCAUAUCAAUAAGCGGAGGA